AUCACCUUGAAGAGAACAUGCUAUAAUUAAUGAGGUCGUACGGUUAUAGUUUGUAAGGAUAGGGUUCACAAUCAUUAUAUUCAUUGAAACUGACUAAUAAUUAACUUGUGGCAAACUGCAGCAAUGUGUGACGAGGCUCUGGAUUUUUCAAAAGCGUAAAACAUCAGAGCUGGCCUUUAUACUUCGGAGACUACAAUGCAACAGAAAACGACUUUUCAAUUCUUUUGUUGUAAAUUAGUAGCAAGUAUAAAAGUCUGACUUCCAAUUGAACGUUUGAGACAAUAAGUAGCUGCGCUGGAUUAUAAAUAGAUAUGUCAAUCUCUGAACAUAAGUGUCGUUGAAAAUGCAUUGCUCUGACACCAUGUAAGUUGCUGCUUUGACCAAUGGAACAUCACUUGACUAAUUGGUUGCAGUGAUACACAAGUCCAGUCACUCUGUAUAGGAUGCUGCAUAGUUUUGAUUGCUGGAUCAAACCCUUGAGUAAGUCCUUGAGUAACGACAAGUCUUCUGUGAAUCCACAAAAACUUAUCAAAUGUUGGUUAAUUAAAUACAACCGGUUAGAUAACAUAUGAUUAAUUUUAUACUAGUUGAAUAACAGUGAAUUUAGCAUUUAUAUUACAGAUUAAAAAAUAGGCAUUUGCAAAAUGGUUAUCAGAGUACACGAGCAGGAGUAGAUAAAUUAUCUUUAUUAGAUAGUUAAUUUAUAUUAAGUUGAGGUUCUUCUAAAGACAAAAAAUUGUGCUCAGGUGAACUAGUUUAAGAAUGGUUGAAAAGAUCAUUCUCUAAAACACUGAAGCACUUGAUCUUCCAUAAAAUCAUGGUGUUGUUUAUAACAAGUGAUUUGCAAUACUGGUCAGUUCUGUAAAAGGGUUUGCAACGCACUGAGAUGUUUUUCAAGUUAUGAAAAUGUGACCGAUGAUAAGUCCUGCAUUCAAACAUUGAAAUAAACUGUCGCCCAAAGCAUUUCAUAAAUUAUACAUAUUCUUGAAGUGUGCAUUAAAUCUGUUUAAGUUAGUGCAUUUAUAAAUAAAACACAGCAGCACCUCUGCUUCUUUAGGGAUUUGAAAAGAUUCGACAUGACCAUCUUCUAUAGGUGUGUGGUGGAGAGUAUAUUGACUGGUUACAUCACAGCCUGGAAUGGAAACACAAAUGCCCUUGAAUGGAAAAUCCUACAAAAAGCAAUGGAUAUGGCCCAGUCCAUCAUGAGUAAAGCCCUCCCCACCAUUGUGCAUAACUGCACAUAGUGCUGUCAAAAGAAAGCAUCAUCCAUCAUCAAGGACACCCACCAUGCUCUCUUCUUACUGCUGCCAUCGCCUCAGGACUAACACCACCAGGCUCAGGAACAGUUCUUACCCCUCAACUGUCAGGCUCUCUUUCAAGGACAGUUCAUCUCAACUUCAUGAUUCUUAUUGCUUAUUUAUUUAUUAUUAUUAUUUCUAGUUUUAUUUUGCAUUUGCACAGUUUGCCCAGCCUUUUGGGUGCGUUCUUCCAUUAAUUUUAUUAUGAUUCUUGGACCUACUGAGUAUGCCCGCAUGAAAACAAAUCUCAGGGUGUACUUGGUGACAUAAAUAUACUUCGAUAAUAAAUUCAAUUGAACUUUGAACUUUGCAUGUAAAACCCCUUUGCACGUAAGGGUCUUCACAGCCAAUAAGACAAUAAGGAGUAAUUUCUGAUUGUUUUGGAGAUUUCUUGUGUCACCUGAAGCAGUCAGCACCAUGUACUCAAGUGAAACGUGAACUCACAGCUUUAUUGAAGGGGUUAACAAUACACAUGCUUGAGUUGUUACAUCAAAGUUCCACUUUUAACAUAUAAUCAUUUUCUCUCCUUUCUCACUUCUUUCUGCUUUUCUUCCUUCCUUUCAUGUUCUGCAACUUCCUCAGAGUAUAGUUGUGAAUUUUAUCAGCGAGACUAAAAUGAAAUAUAUUACUGCUAAUUCAAAGAUGUCAAAUUAAUUUUUUGGAGAUUUUUCAAAAGAAAAAAACCCACCAUUCUUCUUUCUGUUAAUAAAUUGGGAAUACUCAUGAAAAGCCAGAUCUAGGAGCUGCCUCACCAGCCAACUAUUUCAUGUGCAGUCGAGCAGUUGCUUCUCACUACAAGGUCUUGGCUCUCAAGAAAUUGCACUUUACUCAGCAAUGUGGAAGGCUGACAUUUCAUUUCCCAGAUUGCAUACAACUUCCUUUUAUAAAGAAUUAUUGGAAACAUUUCUCAGUAAAUAGUUUACUGAAAGAAAAGCUGUUAUACCCUGGAGUAGGAGCUAUCUGAUCUACUUAUUAUCCUGAAUUUACAACAAAAACAACUGUGUAGAUCAAAGAUUUUAAUUCACUCUAAAGGCAUGGAAAUUACUUGCUCGACUUUAGUAGAGAUAAUUUACCUCAAAUAAAUAAAUACAUUGAUCAGUUCAGUUCAAUUCUCUGUACAGAUUUAUAAUUGAACAUAUCAGAAUUGACCAAAGAUACAUUAAGGCUUCAACAAAAGUUAGAAAUGUGGAAAUACAGGAAGAUCUGCAAGGUAACAACAGACUUUGAAACAUCUCUAUUUAUUGAAGAUGUGUUGUCAGAUUUGAGGUGGAUCCUGAAUUAAUAGUUGGUAAAAAGAACAUGCAGCUAUCUUGGUCAUUCACCAAAGGCUCUCCAUUGUCCUUUAGUUAUGGGAUGAACAUCAAACAAAGCAAUCACUUUUAGAUCUUCAAACUGCUUCUGCAUCCUUUCAUGUUACCAGUUUCAUGACCUUGUCAGCAUAGUUUAUAUCCAUUGCAAUAUGACGCAGACUGGGAAGCUACAAUAGAGUGCACUCUGGGCUACAACUCCCCACUCUAUGUCUAAUUAGCUGAAAUUACAAUUUAUUGUAUUGUUUUAAUGGGUUGUGAAAACAAAAGCAUCGAAAACUCAUGCAGAUAGAGUGCAGGAGCAUAAUGGUUAAUGCAUUGCUUUACUGCACCAACAAUCUCCAAUCUGGGUUCAAUUCCUGCUGUUAAAUGAAAUGAGUUUGUAUGUUCUCCCUGUGACCAUGUGGAUUUCCUCUGGUUGCUCUGGUUUGCUCCCAUAUUCUAAGGAAGUAUGGUUAGAGUUAAAGUUAGUGAAUUGAGGGUGUGCAAUGUUGCUGCCAGGAGGGUGGCAACACAAUGCUUGGGCUCUGUGUUGGUUAUUGAUGCAAGCAAUGGGAUGAACAUGCACAAAACAGUGCACCCUAACGCCUUCACCAUCAUUUUGGGAGAUUUUAGCAAAGCCAGUCUGAAAAAAAAUCACUAAGCAUUUACUGUCAACAGAGCACUUGCAAUACCAGAGGAAACAACACACUGGACCAUUACUACACCACCAUCAAGAAUGCCUACCGUGCUAUUCCAUGCCCUCACUUCGGGAUGUCUGAUCUCUGCGACUAUAGGCAGUGACUGAAGACUGCAACACCAGUAGUGAGGACCAAGAAAGUCUGGACAAGGGAAGCACAGGAGCGCCUACAGGACUGCUUUGAAUCGGUAGACUGGACUAUAUUCAGGGAUUCAUCUUCGAAUCUGGAUGAGUAUGCUGCAGUUGUUACUGACUUCAUUAAAACCUGUGUGGACGAGUGUGUGCCUACAAAGACUUACUGUACAUUCCCAAACCAAAAGCCAUGGGUGAACCAGCAGGUACAUCGUCUGCUGAAGGCUAGAUCUGUGGCAUUCAAGUCUGGCAACCCAGGCCUGUACCAGAAAACCAGGUAUGAUUUGCGGAGGCCUAUUUCAAGGGAGAAAAGACAAUUUUGAAUGAGUUUGGAGGUAAUAUCAGAUGCACGGCAACUCUGGCAGGGUCUGCAACGUUACUUUCUACAAAGUAAAACCCAAUAGUAUGUAUGGAAGCGAUGCUUCACUAUCAGAUGAACGCACUGCCUUCAAUGCACGCUAUAAAAGGGAGAACACAGCUGUUUCCGCUGCACCUGAUGACCCUGUGAUCUCAGUCUCAGAGGCUGAUGUUAGACUGUCUUUAAAGAGAGUGAACCCUUGCAAGGCAGAAGGUCCUGAUGGAGUACCUGGUAAGGCUCUGAAAACCUGUGCUGACCAACUAGCGGGUGUAUUCAAAGACAUUUUCAACCUCUCACUGCUACAAGCAGGUUCCCACUUGCUUCAAAAAGGCAACAAUUAUACCAGUGCCUAAGAAGAAUAAUGUGGGUUGGCUUAAUGACUAGUGCCCAGUAGCGCUCACAUCGACAGUGAUGAAAUGCUUUGACUGGUUGGUUAUGACAAGACUGAACUCCUGCCUCAGCAAGGACCUGGACCUAAUGCAAUUUGCCUAUCGUCACAAUAGAUCAACAGCAGCUGCAAUCUCAAUGGCUCUCCAAUUGGCUUUAGACCACCUGGACAACACAAACACCUAUGUCAGGAUGCUGUUCAUCGACUAUAGCUCAGCAUUUAAUACCAUCAUUCCCACAAUCCUGAUUGAGAAGUUUCAGAACCUGGGCCUCUGUACCUCCCUCUGCAAUUGGAUUCUUGACUACAGUCUGUGCGGAUUGGUGAUAACAUCUCCUCCUCACUGACGAUCAACACCGGUGCACCUUGGGGUGUGUGCUUAGCCUACUGCCCUACUCUCUGUAUACACAUGACUGUGUGGCUAGGCGUAGUACAAGUACCAUCUACAAACUUGCUGACGAUACAACCAUUGUUGGUAGAAUCUCAGGUGGUGACGAGAAGGUGUACAGAAGUGUGGAAUGCAGACUAGUGGAGUGGUGCCACAGCAACAACCUGGCACAACGUCAGUAAGACAAAAGAACUGAUUGUGGACUUCAGGAAGGGUAAGAUGAAGGAACACAUACCAAUCCUCACAGAGUGAUCAGAAGUGGAGAGAGGGAGCAGCUUCAAGUUCCUGGGUGUCAAGAUCUCUGAGGUUUUUACCUGGUCCCAACAUAUUGAUGUAGUCAUAAAGAAGGCAAGACAGCGACUAUACUUUAUUAGGAGUUUGAACAGAUUUGGUAUGUCAACAAAUACACUCAGAAUCUUCUAUAAUUGUACCGUGGAGAGUAGUCUGACAGGCUGCAUCACUGUCUGGUAUGGAGGGGCUACUGCACAGGACCAAAAGAAGCUGCAGAAGGUUGUAAAUCUAGUCAGCUCCAUCUUGGGCACUAGCCUACAAAGUACCCAGGACAUCUUUAGGGAGUGGUGUCUCAGAAAGGCAACAUCCAUUAUUAAGGACCUUCAGCACCCAGGGCAUGCCCUUUUCUCACUGUUACCAUCAGGUAGGAGAUACAGAAGCCUGAAGGCAUACACUCAGUGAUUCAGGAACAGCUUCUUCCCCUCUGCCAUCCAGUUCCUAAAUGGACAUUGAAGCUUUGGGCACUACCUCACCUUUUUCAAUAUACAGUGGUUUUGUUUUUGCUCAUUUAAAAAAAUCUAUUCAAUAUAUGUAAUUGAUUUACUUGUUUAUUCAUUAUUAUGUUUAAUUUUAUUUAUUAUUAUAAUUUCUCUCUCUGCUAGAUUAUGUAUUGCAUUGAAAUGCUGCUGAUAAGUUAACAAAUUUCACGUCACAUGCCAGUGAUAAUAAACCUGAUUCUGAUUCUGAUGAACGAUAAAGCGAAUCAUCUGAGAGAUUUUGGACAUAUCCUACUGCAACUAACUAGAUCUAUUUUCACACAUAGAACAUAGAAAUCUACAGCACAUUACAGGAUUUUUGGCCCACAAUGUCGUGCUGACCAUGUAACCUACUCUAGAAACUGCCCAGAAUUACCCUACUGAAUGGCCUUCUAUUUUUCUGAGCUCCAUGUACCUAUCUAAGAGUCUGUCUACCUAAGAGUCCAAGAGUCUCUUAAAAGAAAAUUAGUGGAAUCAGAUAAACUAUAGCUGGACAUCACCAUUGGUCUUCAAGAGAGAACGGAACAAGAUGAAGGAAGGUUUAUCUUAUUGCAGCUUAUAGUAACAUUUAUUAAGGUGUGUAUUUGAACACAACAUGGUUUCAAUGCUAAAAUAACAGAAUAGUGCUUUCAUAAAAUGAACCAAACUUAUGGUUGAAAUAGUCUAUUAUGGUUGAAGCCAACAUUGUGGUUUAAUUGCUGAAAACCUUUGGUGGCACUUACCUUUAUUAAGUUUGUGAUUGUCAUUAUGAAACAUCAGAAAAUUGAGUGGAGGAACAUUUUCACAGAGGCAAAUUAGAACCAAUAAGGGAGUAUUAACUGAUGAUGGCCAAUGAAAUAGAACAAUUGUAAUGACUGACCAACAAAAGAUCAAUUAAAAGUUUAGUUAAGAAUUUAUAUUUAAUAUUUUCUACAGCAAGUUGAGACAUGUGGUGACAUAUUUAUUAUUACAAGUUUAUUCUUGGAACACCUGCUUGAAUCACUUGCAAAUGGUUAAGGAAUAUCAAACUGGUGCAUAUAACUUAAAUUAUUAACACUGAAUUUGAGAAUGACAGAUCAUUAAUUUGAAACACUAAUUGAGUUUCCUUCCCUACAGACGCUAUUGACCGAUACAGUAUUUCCAGCAUUUUCUGAUUUAGUUUCUGAGGAGACAACUAUCAGGAGACAAGAAGGAUGGUGUUUUGAAGUUUUACAUAAAAAGUAAAUUUUACAAGGAUCUAGUUAGAGUAUGGAUCUGUAAAGCUGGUGAAUAAAUCUAAAGUUAUUAUGUUACAACUGCAGGAAAAAUAAACCAACGUUCCAGUUAAUUCAGCCAUUUUAAACUUAGGCAGAGAGAGCUGGAAUUGUGUUUGGCUUUCUUUUCCCCAACCUGCUUUCAAGUCCAGCAAGACUAUGCAAAUAUAGUUUUCUCCCUUUUGUCAUUCAGGCACUUUAACAGCAAGGAAUUUUGUAAAAUUUCAUCCCUAGUCCUCAGUUAAUUAAUAUAUAGCACAAGCUGAGUUUAAUUCGACUCUGAAUUGCAUUUUUUUCACAGAUUAUAAGGAAGCAUUUGAAGUGAAUACGUCAUCUUUGAAGGUGAUCUUCGAAGCCUUGAGUUAAAUAUGCUUAGGGGCAGUGAAUUGAGAGUUUUACUCUUAUAGAUUCAAUCAACAAAAUAUAUCUGCUUGGUUCCAAGUUGAAUCAAAAUGAAGAAAUCCCCUAUCAGCAGUACCCUUAUCUUUGUGAGCAAAUUAAAUUUUUAAUAAGAAACAAUAACUUUAGUUUAAAAUAUGAACACAAUUAGAUUUACACAUCUAAAAUAAGAUUAGAAAAUCUUACUUCCAAAAUAAGGAAAUAAAUGCAUUCUUUUUUUGGUUAGCAUGAAGGGUAACUAAACAUGGUCAUCCUUAAUUGACCAUGUUAAGCAGUGUGUAUAUGUUAAGAUCUACAUCACAAUUUUGGAUUGCUGUAAUUAAUAAGCAAAACUGUAUUUCUAAAACAGAGAAAAUUGCUUGUGUGCUACUUUAUCACAUGGCUGGCAAGUAACCAAGAAAAAAAAAUACCUCUAUGUAUUAAAUCUAACUUCAAUUGGAUUAAUUGCAGAAAGGUUUAACUUUACAAAUGAAACUAUUGUCCCUUUGGAUCAUUGAAGUAAAUCUGUUAUGUUCAGAUGGUGUUGGACCUGCUACACUUCCAGAGAUUUCUGAACAGCUGAGAAACGGCAGGAAUGAUUCAAUUUCUGUGUAAUCACGAAUGGGAAAUUUAUCAUUUAUUCUUGUUUCUUUUGGAUAGAAUUAAUGAAGAAAAUAUCCACAGCACUCAGGCAGAUACUAUAUUAGGAAUGUUAGGCCCAACUUUUUUCAAACAUGCCAAGUACUUGCCAGCAUCAUAUGGGAGGUCCCUUCCUUUCCUGCUUUCUCUUGUUUGAUGUAAUCAGGGAGUAUUGGAGAAGAUGCAGCCACUCUGUCACUGCCUUCAGGACAGUUCCAUCUGAGACAGAAGACAAAAUAAGCCCAGACUAGUUCCUGGACUAAACCCAGACUAGAACUCACUGGAACCCCCUGCAGUUAUAAUCAACAUUUUAGACACUCAGAGAAGGCUUGCUUAUGGAGACAGACAGCUCACAAUUUGUUGUAGUGAGCAUUAAAGAACCCUCUGUCCCUUGUCCUCCAUCUUCCUACUGAAAAUAAUCAGGGGAUAUCAGAUUUAAAGAACCUCCAUCUUCUUCCAAAGCCUUGUGGGAACGUAGGCAGACUUUCUAUGGACAAAUCUUUAAAUGGAAAAAUGGAGAUAUCUUUGCCUACAUCAUUUCAUUAGCUUAAGUGACCUUGUGGUGUCAAUGUAAAGAUGCAAAUCUGAGGUGGUAAAUCGCAAUGUUGCCUUGCAGAACACUUGUGUUCAGAUUGCAAGGAUGAUGCUGAAUUUCAAAUCCCUCUUUACUUUAAUUGUCCUUAUCUCUCCACUUUGAUCAAUGUCUUCGAUUUCCUACCAUGAUCUUUCUUAGUACAAACUCAAGAAAAAGUACCUCACCUUUGUUCUGGGCAAUUUUGAGGAUUUGAAACUUGAUACGGAAUUAAACAAUUACAGGUAAUUGUGGGAUUAUAGGUCAAACAAUACAUGUUGCUAAAUACUUUUCAUUUCAAUGCAUUCUUUUCUCUUUCAUACUCCUAAUAGCUAUCUUUACAUCAUUAGUCUGUAUUCUAUCACAAUUAUUCCCUCUGUUCUCCCUUUUCUAAAACUUAAAGUUCAUUUGUUUUCUCACUUUGAGUUCUGAUGGAGGGUUCUUGAUCUGAAAGACUGACCAUUUCCUUUCCAUGGAUACAAUCUGACCUACUGACGGCUUCUGCACUUUCUGUAUCUAUUUUUUUCUGUUGCAAAUGAGGAAAAGAUUGACUUAAAAAAACACUUAUUUUUUAAAAAUUCUCUUACUAUCACACAUCUAAGCAUUUGGUAGGCAGCAGCAAUACUGAGGAGACUGAGGUGCAUGAGGCUCCCUGCCCCUCAUUUUAACCAAUUCUUACAGGAACACCAUUAAGUGUAUCCUUAGCAGCUGCAUCUCUGUCUGGGACGGAAUUGCAAGGCAUCUGACCACAAGUCCUUACAAAGGAUUGCGGGGUCUGCUGAUAGGAUUGUUAGAGUCUUGCUUCCUCCUAUUACUGAUAUUUGUCAGGAGCUUUGCAUACACAGGGCCCUUAGCAUUGUCAAUGAUCCCUCCCAUCUGUCAAACAAUCUCUUUGACCCCCUACCAUCAGGCAGGAGGUACCGUAGCAUUAGGAUGAGAACUGGUAGAAUGGGAAACAGCUUCAUACCAAGAUCGUAAGACUACUAAACUUCCUACCACUAUCCAGGUCUCAUCAUGUAUGAAGCGCCAGUAGCGUUAUACUAUUUACUUUUUAACUUGUGUCAUAAAUGCACCUUAUUAUUUGUUAAUUUAUUUGUGGUAAUAUUACUGUAUGUGAUAUGUGUGUGAACUAUAUGUACUGUGUUGUGCAUCUUGGUCUGGAGGAGUGUUGUUUCAUUUGGUGAUAUACAUGUGCAUGGUUGAAUGACACUAAACUGAACUUGAACUUGUUUGCUCAUAUUGCCUCAGUAAAUGGAGCUCUUUCUAUCA